GGGUCAAUGAUGAAAACUCAUAUUACCUCAAAGAGAGAUGAUGACCUAAAAAUUAUGCUCAACAGGAUUACACUGAGACCC
ensembl:snoRNA SNORD115 Small nucleolar RNA SNORD115